GAUUACAACAACAACGACUACAGCAACAAAUGUGAGCAGAAAUAUCUGGGAGAUGCAGUAAUAAAAAAAGGAAAGGAAAUUGAAUGGAUUUAAAAUGGGAUAGUACUGGUCGAUUGUUAGGGUGCAGCAAACAUUUGGAUUAACAUCCCGGAAUAUUUGGACUACCCUAACCAUCUCACAGUGGACAAAACGGUAAGUCACUAAAUAUUUAUUUAUAGGGAUUUGUGUUUUGGCUGGUUAAGCUAUCCUUUCCUCACAACUUGAGCAAAUCUACAUUUCGUUAGCUAUAUUUAUAACUCUUAUGAGAGCCUCAAGCUGUUAGGAAAGGAUAGGCUGGUGAAUCCAUAAUGCUACAUGACUAUAUUGCCCACACCAUACGUCGCAACGCGAACCGGACUUGGUUGUCCUGCCGUUCGGGACUUACGUAGGUGUGUACAAUAUUGGUCAUGCACUAUUAAGGAUUCACACCUAUGGAAAAGCAAUAAAAAAAACGGAAAAAGAAACUCAAAAAUUAUUUGUCCAACUGCGUCGCUACAGCUUAGGGACUCUUUGCAUUGACCUAACUGGCCAUACGCAGUUGCGACAAAUCAAAUUUGGAAUAAAAUUAAAAAGUUAAAAAAAAUUAAAAAUUCAGGCUAUUGGUCUACUUCGGGCCCCACGUUGGGCGCCAUUUUGUGAAGUGGUGUGGUGUGUAACAUGUUUGUACGGAAGACAAACAUAAAUAAAACAAAACAAUGAGUGGCCAGAUUGCCAGCGGCGCUGGUAUGCCCGCGUUAAGCUCGGCUGAAGCUCGCCGGAUGGGGGUGGUUCUUGCCGGCAACCUGGACCAUGGACACACACUAACACAAAAAAUCAUACCAGCAUUGUAUGUUGGUCAUAUGAAUAGGGGCUCGAAGUAAUAGCUGCAUCUCCCUACCGGUCAUACCUAUACACAAAUGUAUUGCCCUCCCACUCGAGGUUUGACCCUCGCCAUGACGUCCUCUUCUUGACGUCCCAAACCAUACCUGCAACUUAAAUUUCCCCUACUUACCGCCGCUUAAAAUUUAAUUUAUUCAAUCAUGUUAAAUGACAACACUCAUAAUAUUUCAUUUAUACGUUAUAAAAUUAAUCAUUUCUUUUAUUGAUAAAUUAAUAAAAUUCAAAUAAAGUUUAAUUUUAAAUAAGAAUUCAACAAGUAAAAUGAAAAUAGAGAUUUUAAUUAAAUAGUAAUAUUGAUUAUAAUUAUAUUGAUAUAAUCAUAUUGAUCGGAUUCUAAACUUUAUUUACAAUAGGUACAUAUAUUAAUCUUUUAGCAACAUUUAUCAGGUAAUUACAGGUAAUUUUCUGUUAUAUAUAUAUAUACAUAUUUAUGUAAACACUUAUGUUAUACUAUACUUUUUAUAGCUUUUUUUUUGUUAUCUAUCGUUAUCCUAAUAGAUUUAAAAUUUACUAUUGAGAUUCAACCCUUUUGCACAAUACACUGCCUAACAAAACUAAGGGACCUACGAAAUGAGCUCACUUUUUUUGGACCCUACAAUUCCUUCUCAAUCUCAUUCGGAAUUAAUUAAUAAGAUACCUGUUACUGAUGGAUGUGAUGAUAUGCUGAUGAAUGUGAUGGAUGAUGACUAUUGCAGAGGUGGGUGAUGACUUCGGUGAAUGAGGCUGGCUAUUGCAGAUGGUGAUGAAUGUUGACAGACUAGGAUGACCAGACUAAAAGGAUGGCGGAUGGCUUACGGAAAAGAUGACAGAUGAUGCCUUUGAGGAUGAUGGCGGAUAUAGAAUUGGGAGGAGGUAAUUGAAAUUGGCGGAUGAUUGGCGGAUGAACUUGGUAAUAUGUGGCAGAUGAAGAAUUUAGCGGAUGUGGCUGACGGAAAGUGGCGGUUUUAUAGGUAAAUUAAUAUUUAUUGUUUUUCUUAUCUGUUCAAAUUUUUAGUUCUUUUUAUUCUUAGCUUUUAAUUAGUUUAGGUUAAGUUGUUUUCUUUUUCAGUUCUUUUUUUUUUGUAAUUCUUAUUUUUGUUUUAGUUUUAUUUUAAUUUAGUUUCUAGAUAUAUUCAGUUUAGCUUUAUUUUAAUUUUUAGAUUUAGCUUUUAGUUUUGUUUUAACUUAGUUUCUCUUGAUUUAUUUAGGUUUAUAUUAACAAUUUUGUAUUUUAGCUUUAGUCUUUAUGUUUUAGCUUUAGUUUUUAUGUUUUUACUUUUUAUUUUAAAAUUUUAAUUUUAAAUUUUUUUUUUGUUUAAACUUGUUUUUUUUUUUUUCUUGUUGAAUGCAAAUAAAGUUAA